rnacentral:other from 1 species
CCGCACCUGCCCUGUUCGCGGACUGCGGCACUUAUAACCCUACAACCAUUAUAUUGGGAGUUCGUACUCGCACGGCAGGCGCGCAGGCCUCCCGCAAAAGCGGACGUUGGAAGCCCGAACCCGAGCGGAGAACACCCACCUGCUUUAUUUGCAGGUUAUUUUAGUGCCCGAUACGGCAGGGCGGGAGCCGU